rnacentral:rRNA from 1 species
UACGUAGGGUGCAAGCGUUGUCCGGAAUUAUUGGGCGUAAAGAGCUCGUAGGCGGUCUGUCGCGUCGGCUGUGAAAUCCCGGAGCUCAACUCCGGGCCUGCAGUCGAUACGGGCAGACUGGAGUUCGGCAGGGGAGACUGGAAUUCCUGGUGUAGCGGUGAAAUGCGCAGAUAUCAGGAGGAACACCGGUGGCGAAGGCGGGUCUCUGGGCCGAUACUGACGCUGAGGCACGAAAGCGUGGGGAGCAAACAGG